AUGAAGCCCUUUUUAUGGAGGUUCUGAAGGUGAAUAACCUCCGCGGUAGCUUCUGAAUGGCUCUUCCUCAGCCUAUGAAGUUCGUCGUCCAUCUUCUUUAAUUUUUUCGUUAGGUGACGAACUUUCCUUCUGAGAUCCCAGAUCAUCGACUUCAGAGGAAUCCCCUGUGGUAGGGGAAGAGCUUCGACAGGGCACUAUUGUCGGUAAACAAGAGCGUCACAAUGCAAAUCAUUGCAAAAAAGAGAAAAAAAA
rnacentral:lncRNA from 1 species